CAGCCGCCACGGGAAUACGUAGGGUGCGAGCGUUAAUCGGAAUUACUGGGCGUAAAGCGUGCGCAGGCGGUUAUAUAAGACAGAUGUGAAAUCCCCGGGCUCAACCUGGGACCUGCAUUUGUGACUGUAUAGCUAGAGUACGGUAGAGGGGGAUGGAAUUCCGCGUGUAGCAGUGAAAUGCGUAGAUAUGCGGAGGAACACCGAUGGCGAAGGCAAUCCCCUGGACCUGUACUGAUGCUCAUGCACGAAAGCGUGGGGAGCAAACAGGAUUAGAUACCCCCGUAGUCCCUGUCUCUUAUAA
rnacentral:rRNA from 1 species